rnacentral:tRNA from 1 species
GGAGCUGUAGCUCAGUUGGUUAGAGCGUCUGCCUGUCACGUAGAAGGUCGCGGGUUCGAGCCCCGUCAGCUCCG